rnacentral:rRNA from 1 species
GACGAACGCUGGCGGCGUGCCUAAUACAUGCAAGUAGAACGCAGUUGCGAACGGGUGAGUCACGCGUAGGUACCUGCCUGGUAGCGGGGGAUAACUAUUCGAAACGAUAGCUAAUACCGCCCCCUACCAUAUGGACCUGCGUUGUAUUAGCUAGUUGGUGAGGUAACGGCUCACCCAGGCAACGGUACAUAUCCGAGCUGGGAGGGUGGACGGGCAAACUGGGACGGGGGCACGGCCCAGACUCCUACGGGAGGGAGCAGUAGGGAAUCUUCGGGAAUGGGGGGAACCCUGGCCGAGCAACGGCGCGUGAGUGAAGAAGGUUUUCGGAUCGUAAAGCUCUGUUGUUAAGGAAGCGGUACUUAACCAGAAAGGGACGGCUAACUACGUGCCAGCAGCCGCGGUAAUAC